rnacentral:lncRNA from 1 species
UAAAGGUCAUGUGUUGGAAACUUAAUCCCCACUACAACACUGUUGGGAGGUCAGGCCUAAUAAGAGGUGAUUAGGUCAUGAAUGGAUUAACGUCAUUACCUUGGGAGUGAGUUAGUUAUUACAGGAGUGGCUUUUUUUUAAUAAAAAGGGCGCUGGGACAUGGUAUCGUAAAUGAUGCCAUGGGGAUACAGUCAGCAAAAUCCAGACUAUGGAAGACUCUACGGGGCAAAUGACUUGGCUUCUUUAACCAAUUCUCUGAGGAAGAAUGAGUAAGUAAGAGAGAAAAAAAGAGCAGGAGUGUGCUGGAAUGAGAACAUAUAGCCUGAAAAAGUCAAAGAAAUAAUCAACCAAUUGCAAUAUGUAGACCUUACUUGGAUACUGUCUGAGCCAAACAAACUGUAAAAUGAAAGAUGGCAUUUGUGAAACAACCGAAAUGUUGAACAGUGACUGGGACCUCAACAACCACCAAUUUCAUCUGUGCAGACAACUGAGACCCAGCCUGCUAUUCCAGUGAGCCGUGGACUUGCGGUGGAUCUUUCUCCUGUCAGCCCAUUCCCCCAGCCCUGGCCCGGAGGCAGCAGAUUUUGUGCAAUAAGCUCUGUUCAGGUUGACCGGCUAUUGCUCCUCUGAAUUCAUAAGAUCUGUUACUUGCAGCACCCCUUUAAGAACAGAUGAUGUCCCAGUUCCCAGUGGGACUCCAGGAACAGUAUCUGGAUGGCUUCUAAAGAACUCUUUUUCCAGCUGGAACCCAAACCCUAGGUCAGCUCCACUGUUUCCUCCCAAUGCCUUUGGUCCUAUCGCUCCUGCCACAAGGCACAGGGAAGGGCCUGGCUGGAGGGAAAGGCAGUUCAUGCAGUUCCAACUGCCUCCCAGCCCUGACCCCAAAUGUCAAUCAGGCUCCCGUGACAAGACAGGGCCUGCAGUGUCCUAGAAGAGUGGACACUAUUCCUGAGGCCAGUGCAGAAUCUCUGUUCCAGUGGGCAGUUGGAAAAUGAGGAAUGUCACCCUUUAUUGCAGCUUACAUAUUUCAUGCACCUGCACCUUUCUUUCUGAUCUUUCCAACACGGAAUGGCCUGAUUUCCAUGCACCAUUAGAGGUACGUGGCCUGGACUAAAAUGUCAGUAACAACCAGGACAACUGCGACCAUGAGAAGAGCUGCCAUUUAUUCUGCAUGGACCUUGUGCCAGGUGCCGGGGAGGG